GGGGAGCAUUCAUAAUUAAUGGGCAUAUAACCAAGAAGUGAAUCCUUAAUGCGGGAACAUUUGCAGGCAUUAAUGUGGCGACCUCUCCUAGCUAGGUAUCCGCGUAGUGCUGAAAGGAUAGCUCCGGAUCACCUGCGGACAUCCUUGAGUCUCUGGACCAAGAAGGGAAAGGGGACUAAAUAACUCAGGGCAACAGUAGACCCUCGAAAGCAGGAGCGAGGGGGUACCCCUUCCUAACUUCCCCUCACGUGCCAAGAAAACAACUAGUUGUUUUUUUUUAAUUACAUGCUUUAGGUGUCAAGUUUUUGUUUUUAAACAGUAUUUUCCUUUUCACUUUUUUUUUCUCAAAGUGCAAUUUUGAGCCACACGUUCCAAAGAGGACAGGAAAAGUGAAUUUUAUAAACUGCAUUUUCCACCAUUAAAAUCAGAGGCAGCAUCCUGCAACGUGAGGAUGAAGUGGAGGAAGUGUGGAGAGUUUUCUCCAGGCAUCCUCAGGUGGAUGGAGGUUAAGACAGGGAGAGACGUGGCCUCGAGUUGAGCUGAUUCCUUCCUCAAUGGAACCCUGGCCCUAGCUCUGCCUAGCUGGUGCGUCUGGUCCGGAGCUCAGCGCCCUGCGUAUGAUUCCCGCAGAAGGUUGGGGAGAGGAAUCAGUGAAGACAGAAGAAAACAUCUGCGAAGACAAACCUCUAAACCCUCUUCGAGUCUGAGCAGUCCACCCCAGGCUCUGAGGUUGAAGCAUGGUCCUGCCCAGUGUCAUGACAGAGUGAGGAGGACAAGAAGAUCCACAUGCAGGCCUGGGGUGGCUACUCACCCAAGGCCAGUGCUGUGACCACUGUCACCACUUGGCACCAAUGUCAGCUCUCCGGGCUCCAGCUGCACCUCUGCCACCGACCUGCUCUGCUGACAUUUUGAGACACACCUGAUUUCUAUUUUCUGCUCAGUUCCUUUCCAUGGUAACUUGUUUGCUUGUCUGCAUGGUCUGCUCUACAUUGACCUCUCAAAUGUUUGCAUGCAGCCAGUGUCCCUCAACUCCAUGCCCUGAGGCCAAAUCCAAUGUCCCUGCCAACAUGCCAGAAUCUAGCUGGAAUAGAGUGAUGAAGAUGAAGACUGGCUUCCGGAGCUGGGGGCGUGGCUAAGUGGGAGCAGAGGGCUUGUCCAUCAUGCUCGCAGCCCUGAGCUCAACCCACAGCACUGCACGCACUGGGAAGGGUGACACACACCUGUCAUCCCAGUACUCUAGAAACUAAAGUGGGAGGAUUGCCAAGAGUUUUAGUCUGUCUGAGCUUCAUAAAGAGACUGUCCCCAACACACACACACACACACACACACACACACACACACACACACACACACACCAUUACGGUAUUAAAAGUCAUAGACAAACAUAUCCAACAUAGAGCAGAACAUUUCAAAUUCAGCUAUUUGAAGCUUCUCUUUGGCUUUGAAGACAUUCUUAAUGUAUAGUCAGUUUAAAAGUAAUACAACAAAAAUGAUUGCUGCUCUAAUGAAGGAGAGGAAUGCAGCUGUGUUUAGGGCUGAGCUGUCCUCACAUCUACAAUUUCGAACUGCAUUUAAAAAAAUAACAGAUUGAGGGGUGGGAGGGCUAUAAGACAACUUUAGCAAAACAUUGUGGAUUAAAGGAUUUAGUCUAUAGUCACAUGGCUGUUCUUUGUAUAAUUCUUUCAUGUCUUUCUGUAUCGAGCAUUGUUUAAGGAGAAAAAUGAUCAACUGAGUACCUUCCAUUAUUUCACCAAUUGCUCACAUAAUUUGCUCUACUCAUAGUCCAAAGCAAGUGUGUGUGUGUGUGUGUGUGUGUGUGUGUGUGUGUGUGUGUGCAUGUGUGUUUAGAAUAUGUGUCUGUUCUCUUUGUGUGGUUUUUCUGAAGCAUGGAAGCAUGGUACAUAUGCUAUGACAUUCUUGACUCUUAAAUAUUUAUGACCCUUGAUAUCACUGUGGCACCAACAAUGAAAAGGGACUCCAAAGUGUCACCUAAUGGCCAGUAUUUAAAUUGUCCCAACUAGUCACAAAGUGACUUUUUAAGCUGCUUAACCUUUCCCAGAACCUGAUCACUUGCUGCAAAUGCUAUGUUUCUUUAGUCUUAAAGCAACAGCAAUAACAUUCUUUAUUCAUUUCUUUUCUAAGUCUACUUUAAAGUUAUUUUAUGUAUUUAUGAAUGUUGCCUGUGUGUAUGUCUGAGCGUCACUUGUGUGUACAGUGCCCCAUGGAGGCCAGAAGAAGAUUCUCUGGAACUAGAAUUAGAGAUGGCUAUGAGCAGUCUUGCCGGUGCUAGGAAUCAAAGCCAGAUCCUCAGGAAGAGCAGCAAAUUCUCUUAACCACCGAGCCAUCUUUCUAACCUCUUUAAAAAUAUUUUUAAAUUAUUUCAAUGUGUGUGGGUGGGGAGUCAGUAGGAGUAAGUUGUUGUCCUGCCUGGUGUGAGUCCCAGAGACUGAGCUCAGGUCCUUCGAUAAUUAGCAUCCUUACUGGCCAAAUCACCUCUUUGGCCCUCCUUACCCUUUCUUUUAAAUCUGUAACAGUGGCUUUUUUUCAAAGCAUCUAUCGCAGAUACUACAAAAUAUUUCACCCCCACAGACUCACCUGUUGUUCUCACAUAGGUAAUAGAUGCCUCAUUUAUCGUAACCUGGAAGUGAGAACUGGACAUUUUAUGUAUUUGUCUUAAACCUUUUUGGCAAAAAUACAUUAUAAUUGUGGAGCCUCUUUGUCCCUUGUGCUGUGAAACUUCCACGUUCCAAGCCUUGACAACCAUAUUUCCUAGCUAUGUGAUGGUUAUUAAGGCUUGAAUUUCUUAUAUGAAUGAGGUAGUGACUAAAAAGCUCCCCAAGGUAAAGGCUUAUUUCCUUCUUUAUAAUAGCAGGAAGUGACUUGCAGGCUCCUACUCUGAAGCUGCGUGCGCAUCCCAUUGAUUAUGUCUUUAGCUAAUGACUUUAGCAUCAUGUAAGCCUUGCUUGAAUCCAUUGUUAUCCUGGGUUUUUCAAGGUGAUAAUUUUUUUCUGUUCUUUCUGAAGAUGUUACCUGAUCUUGGGUCGGGAAAAGAGCAUGUUCCAUGCAUAGCUGAACAUUUACAGUCCUUUAUUCUCAACAUUUGUAACAGUUAGGAGUCUUUGCAUUAACUACUUCGCUGUACAAUAAGAAGUUUCUCUGACCAAAGUUGAGAGCAGUAUGAAUCUAUGUAUACAAACAUAAAUAUUUAAAAGGGAGAUUGAUAAUGUGACUAUUUAACAAAACAACAUCAACAGAUUCUGCCCUAUAGCCUAUGGCUUUAUUAGCCAUGAACUUUGACCAUGCAUACACUAUUAAGCAUGAAUACCUUCCAAUGGAGCCAGCUUCAAAUCUGAUUGAGAGAGUGUGGUGGCUACCACCAUGAACAGUCUUAUCAGUAUUGUACCAGCAGGCACAUGUUGACUGGCAGACAGGUCAUUCUCGCUCUGGAUAAGACUGUUGGUGUCUUCUUCUCCAGAAGCCAGCAUGGCACUUUCUAUCCCUAUGAAAGCUAGUCAGCAGGGAGACUUUUCUGCUCAGUUCAAGAUAGAUUUCUCUAUGUUCUACAACCAAAGCGUGUGGAAUCUUCUGUAGUAGGGGUUUACCACUUAGCUUUGAUGGGAAACUAAGCCCAAUGGUGAGCCUGGAAGUGUGAGAGUCAGAGGAUAGGGUGGAGGGCUGAGAGGCUGGCCUCUGGGAAGGACUUGGCUUUUAAACACAUGAAUUCAUGCAGCCAUAGCUGUGUGAAUAUGUUAACAUGGAAUAUGUUAAUAUGGCAAUAUAGAAUAUGUAGUUCAUAUAAAGCCUUCACAAGACCAAAAGACUUGAAAAUGCCAGCAUAGGGUCUCUGGGUGUGCCAUCACUAGCUGAGGAUCUAAUGACAGAUAGCUGCUAAGGAAGGAAGAAUUGCUUGUCUUUGCGGAUGAGGGCAGCCAAUGGUAGUCUGCCAUGAUCCAGUGGGUAACCUCCCACACAUAAGCAUAUGGGUACCACUAAUUGGACUUAGUGUGUUAUAAAAGGAAACAAAACUACGUGGCAUUGGGAGGAAGAUGGGAGAGAUGUAGGGAGGAUGUUGGGAGCUGGAGGGAGGGAGUGGGGUGUGGAUAUGAUCAAGAUACAUUGGAGACACAAAUGACAGUUUCAGAACACCUGAAAAUCCCCCCAUGUUAGUUAGCAUCCUUCCUAAAGAAGGUUUUUCUUCACUCUUUCUAGUUUUCAGUUUCACCAGUUCUAGCGUUGCUUUUUAAGUGUGCAGAGCUUCCAACAUUUGUUAUCAAUUUAAUGGGGAAAUGGACAUUUUCCAGGCUGAUCAUUGCAAAUGAGGCCUCACCAUUCCCAGCAUCAGUGUGGUGCCUUUGUAUCCUCAGUCUUUUCAUCCCAUGCUUGAGAGAUGCCUGGUGAAUCUCCAGACUCUCAUACUCUGGCUGUCACAAUGAAGUGGUGCCUCUGAAAAGGAGCCUGAAGGAAAGAUGAUGCUCUUUUUCUAUGGUAAGAAAACCCUUUCUAGAAGCCCCCUAGCAGAAUUUGCCUUGUGUUUCACUUUCCUAAAAUCCCCUUGUUCUGACUCCACACACUCAUCUGAAGUCUUGGUAGCUGCUGAUCUUUUAAUUUUCUAUAGCUCUGUCUUUUCCCAGUGUGUAUAUGUGAAUCAGAGAAUAUUGUCAUCUCAUACUAACUUGUUCCACUUAGCAUUAAUGCUAAUCUCUCUCUCCCUCCCCGCCCUCCC